rnacentral:tRNA from 1 species
GGAUAUAGCUCAGUGGCCCAGUGUCUGCCUGGCAAGCACAAAGUCCAGAGUUUGAUUCUCUGUACCA